rnacentral:rRNA from 1 species
GAUGAACGCUGGCGGCGUGCCUAACACAUGCAAGUCGAGCUAUCUUCUUCGGAAGAGAGCGGCGGACGGGUGAGUAACGCGUGGGUAACCUGCCCUAUACACACGGAUAACAUACCGAAAGGUAUGCUAAUACGAGAUGAUAUAAGACAUUCGCAUGUUUUUCUUAUCAAAGCUUUUGCGGUAUAGGAUGGACCCGCGUCUGAUUAGCUAGUUGGUAAGGUAAUGGCUUACCAAGGCGACGAUCAGUAGCCGACCUGAGAGGGUGAUCGGCCACAUUGGAACUGAGACACGGUCCAAACUCCUACGGGAGGCAGCAGUGGGGAAUAUUGCACAAGGGGCGAAAGCCUGAUGCAGCAACGCCGCGUGAGCGAUGAAGGCCUUCGGGUCGUAAAGCUCUGUCCUCAAGGAAGAUAAUGACGGUACUUGAGGAGGAAGCCCCGGCUAACUACGUGCCAGCCGCCGCCGUAAGAC